rnacentral:rRNA from 1 species
CCUACGGGGGGCAGCAGUGAGGAAUAUUGGGCAAUGGACGAGAGUCUGAACCAGCCAAGUAGCGUGAAGGAUGACUGCCCUAUGGGUUGUAAACUUCUUUUAUAUGGGAAUAAAAUGUUCCACGUGUGGGAUUUUGUAUGUACCAUAUGAAUAAGGAUCGGCUAACUCCGUGCCAGCAGCCGCGGUAAUACGGAGGAUCCGAGCGUUAUCCGGAUUUAUUGGGUUUAAAGGGAGCGUAGGUGGAUUGUUAAGUCAGUUGUGAAAGUUUGCGGCUCAACCGUAAAAUUGCAGUUGAAACUGGCAGUCGUGAGUACAGUAGAGGUGGGCGGAAGUCGUGGUGUAGCGGUGAAAUGCUUAGAUAUCACGAAGAACUCCGAUUGCGAAGGCAGCUCACUGGACUGCAACUGACACUGAGGCUCGAAAGUGUGGGUAUCAAACAGGAUUAGAUACCCUAGUAGUC